ensembl:lncRNA
AUGGGCUAGCUGCCUAAUUUGGAUCAUUGUAUGAAGACUUCUGCAGCAUCGCCUUAGUGACCCUUCUACUAAGAUCAGCUGUAAACACCCACAUUCCAAGACUAGAGUUGGGAAGCAAACUGAAGUGGCAUACUUGAUAUACUUUAGACAUAACCGUGCCUAAUAGUCUAGUUCAGAGUCAAGGAGAUAGACUUUACAGAAAGUCCACACACAACAAGAGCCACAAAAGACCAUUGCAGUGUCUGAAACCCACCACCUAAAAUCAGUAGAUGCACUGCGAAACAAGGAGUAAAGCUAAUAAGAUCUACAACAUGCAGUUUAUCUGAGAGAACAAUCAUAUUUAAACAAAAAAGAAAUUUAGGGAAAAACUGUUUUUCAACAGCUCAUCACAUCUACCAAAGAAAACUAAAGCUAAUCCAACACCAGUAUUGUUCUUCCAAAUAAAGAACAUAUGAAGAGUCUUCAAGUGAAGUCUUAUAGAUUCUUCAAAGUGUGAUUUUAUUUUAUUUUUUCUCCUCAAAAUCACUAGACCAACACAGUUUUGGAGAAGCUCUUUGCACUAUCUCACCAGAUAUGGUCUCCCUGCCCUCUUUUGGCCAACACCUAUCAACACAUAUAGGCACCAAGCUGCGUACAAAUGAUCAAAUAUGUGGCUCAAUUGCUGAAAAGAUUGCCAAAUUUAGGGCAAGUUCCAUGUCCCAGAAGGGAGAGGGGUCUUUCCCUCAUGCUGACAACAACAUGCCACAAGAUAGAAGAGAAGAACUCCACCAAACUUCCACUUCUUACAUGGAUCAGCAACGUCUUCAUUUUGCCGAGUUGAAUCCAGGGCCUACAGAAAAAGGUUGUCCACAAAUCCUGCCAGAAGAAACUGUCACUUUGGCAAAGAGCUUGUUGGUUCCGUCUGACAUUUCUGCAACGACUUGGGACAAAGUACCAGAGAAAUGUCCAAGUUCAACACUUAGUUGCAACUCAUCACAGCUACAUGGCAGAAAGGAUUUGGAAAAACAAGAUGUUAGGAGUGAUGAUUCAACAGGUGUAGAGAGUUCAAAAAUCACCAAAAAUUUUGAAGACCAACAACAUUGUCAUUUUGCCUUUGAAGGAAAUGUACAUGUAUCAAAACAAUCACUCAGUCAAAACUCUUCAUGUUCUGGUGAAGAAUUUGAACAUCAAUUGAGUCCCAAGUGUCACAGCGAGAGAGAUUUUGGAGGACAAUUAGGUUCCUGUUUUGGUUUGAAAGAUGAGUUUGAAAGCCAGACUGAUGAUGAGGAUGACAUUUGGGAUGUCAUACCCUUAAAUCUUGAUAACCUUAGUUUUGAGCAAGCCGAUUACCAGCCUACCCCAGAAUACAUUUCACAAUACAAGUGUGAACAUGAAGUUUGCAGGGUUACAAAAGCAGUCCCUGCUUCUGCCUUUUUGAAAAUGGAAGUCUUUGACACCCCCGAUGAACAGAAUCAAACUUUCAAAUGUGGUCAACUUUCCUUUGUUGUCCCAUCUUCCUGUUGUUAUGAGUCAUUUAUGCAAAGGAAAGACUCAAGCUCAGAACAUGAAGAUUGCUGUGAAACCGACAAUGGCGCUGAUUACUCGCCUGCUCCAGAAAUCAACAAUUUGACUGUUUGCAGAGACUUGAAGAAAAGAUUUUCUGAACCUGUAAAACCAAAAACUGAUUAUUGUGGAUCUGAAAAAAAGAGCUAUAAGAUGGCAAGUUUGCAAGAAAGUCAAGCUUGGGGAAGACCUCAAGAAGACCCACAAGAAGAAAGUAUAAUUAUCAUUGAUUCUGAUUCUGAAAGUGACAUUGAUUGCAUGGAAAAGCAAGAAAGGGACAAAAUGCGUCUACCUGUAGACCAACAGCACCAUGUAAAUACUAACUUAACACAAGGGACUGAAAAAUGUGGACUAAAUCAAAAUGAAAAGUGCAGACCAAGAAUUUCAAAUGACGAACAUAUAAUAAUUAUUCUGUCAGACUCUGAUGAUGAUUACAGGGAAAUAUCUAACAUAAAAGAAACUUCUAUUUUAGAGUCUAUGGACAAUGGCAAUUCUGAAAUGGCUAAAAGUACACUGCUGAAUAAAAAGCCUUUAGCAGAUUUCCUUAAGCCAAAACAUGAUCAUGCAUCUGAACACGAGAAACUAAAAACCAGCAGAGAAGUUAUGCCUGCAAACUGCUAUGAAAGCAAGAGAAAAGCAAACAAUGAUUCUCAAAAGAAGAGAGUAGUAUCGCCAGAAAGAGAAGAUGAUGACAAUGACUUACACAUUCCAAGAAGUGAUCUUUCUGCUGAAAGGAAAAGAGUUAAGACAACUGUUUAUAAUCCAAGAAGCAACCAGAAAAGUAAGCGUUUGGCAGAGCCAGAUACCCCACUAGGUGACAGUCCUGUGAAUAUUCAGCCAUCUCAUUUGAGUCUAGACAAAGGUGGAUUCUCUUCAGACCCCUCCAAAGCCACUAGCAAAAAUGACUUGUUUACAUCUAGGUUGAGGCGUUUUCUCAGAGAGAAACAAAACAAAAAAACAAAGCCUCCAGGAGUCUACAAUGCAGCAGUAGUCAAAUUUAACCAGAGUUCACUUCAACCUAGAAGACGUGUUGUUUCACCUAAACAACGAGCUCCCUUUUUCAAGUCCGCAACAUCAUAUUCUCCCUUCGCUCCCCAAAACGGCACAUCUUUGACUACCCCAAAGUCAAUUCAAGGAACAAGCCACGCAAGGACCAAAAUAUUUGGUGACUGGGAGAAGCAACAUGUACCACUCAGGAAGGAGAGAAAAUUCUACAAGGGAGCCAAACACUUAAGACGCACUCUCUAA